rnacentral:lncRNA from 1 species
GAGCAGGGCCCGUGGUGUGCCUGGUCUGAGAGGUGGAGGCCCCCACUGGCCUCGGGGCAUGGUGGGCGAGGGGAUGGGGGAUGGAGAGACGGCUUUCCUCGCAGGAGCAGAGUAGAUUUCCUGCCCGUUUGCCUGAUGCCCUGGGGGGAGCUUGGAUGGCUCUGCUCGAAGGGGCAGGGCCGAGGGCCUCUGUGAGGGAGCUCCUGACGGGCCUUGUUCAUUUGCAUCCUGGGCUUCUACUUUGGUCAGACAGGAGGAGUUGGACAGAACUGAGUGGCCGCCCUGGCGCUGGUGCUACCUGAUGGUUUCUUAAUUCAGCCGUGGCUCUAGAAACAAAAGGAAGAGAGGAAACCGCUCUGCACAGCCCCCUCCGGUGCCUGCUUGGUGCCGGCUGCGGGGGCCACGAGGAUGGAAACAUGCUUUGCUUUUUAGUGGGUCUCAGGCAGGCACUGGGCUGUCACAUGUGUCCCCAGCCCCGAUGCAGUUAGAACCGCCUGAUGAGUUUGGAGACUAUGCUGCUGGCCCCUCCUCUGAGAGUCUGCUGUCGUCACUGUUCAGGAGACGGUCACCCUGUGGAUACCUGCUGGUGUGUGGGGCUGCUUACAGGAUGGUGCUGGCACGAGCUGCUAAUCUUCCAGAAGCUGGCAUCCUGGAAGACACGACUCCGAGAAUCUCAGGUGUGUGGUUUAUUUGCAGCCCUGAGCACCUGCACUUGUCAAAGCCCUUUGCCAGUUGUCAUUAUCCAUCUCACCUGAGCUUCAGGAAAAACCAGGAUGUCAGAGGGAUGGCUGGCUUCAAGCACAGCUCGUGCUGUCCGCUGUCCUCAUGUCUCUCCCCUGUCCAUCGUGUAGCUCUGUUCACUUCUGCUGGGCUUCAUUCUUAAACGGGUUUCUCCAAGGGGCAGUAGACAGCUGCUGGCUGCCAAAGGUCCCUUGGAGACAAGAAGCAGCUUCACUUUAGUUCUGGCCGAAUCCUGAAGGUGGCUCUGCUUGGCCUGAUUUGGGUCACACGCCUGCUGUGGAAGGAAAUGGCCUGGGGUGGGUGGGGGGGUGAGGGUGUGGGUGGGGGCAGGUCAAGAGUGGGCUGCACCUGGACAAAAUGGAUGGGGCAGGAUUAUUCUAGAUUUGGGGAGGGGGCUUUCCCCAAAGGAGAGAAUUCUGGACGGACAACCAUGCUCAUUAUUUCGAAAGGGAUCAUCUUUUUAAAAUAAGGAAUUCAGAAAGGGAAGGAUUCUGAGGAGUAUCCAGAUUCUCAAAUUUUGGGUAUCUGUGCGGC